UACAGAGGAUGCAAGCGUUAUCCGGAAUGAUUGGGCGUAAAGCGUCUGUAGGUGGCUUUUUAAGUCCGCCGUCAAAUCCCAGGGCUCAACUCUGGACAGGCGGUGGAAACUACCAAGCUGGAGUACGGUAGGGGCAGAGGGAAUUUCCGGUGGAGCGGUGAAAUGCGUAGAGAUCGGGAAGAACACCAACGGCGAAAGCACUCUGCUGGGCCGACACUGACACUGAGGCGCGAAAGCUAGGGGAGCGAACGGG
rnacentral:rRNA from 1 species